rnacentral:rRNA from 1 species
AGGAUUCCCCUAGUAACUGCGAGUGAAGCGGGAAAAGCUCAAAUUUAAAAUCUGGCAGUCUUUGGCUGUCCGAGUUGUAAUUUAGAGAAGCACUGCCUGCGCUGGACUGUGUACAAGUCUCCUGGAAUGGAGCGUCAUAGAGGGUGAGAAUCCCGUAUAUGACACAGUUGCCGGGGCUUAGUGGCAUGCUCUCCAAGAGUCGAGUUGUUUGGGAAUGCAGCUCAAAAUGGGUGGUAAAUUCCAUCUAAAGCUAAAUAUAGGCGAGAAACCGAUAGCGAACAAGUACCGUGAGGGAAAGAUGAAAAGAACUUUGGAAAGAGAGUUAAACAGUACGUGAAAUUGUUGAAAGGGAAACGCUUGAAGUCAGUCACAUUGCUGGAAAUCACACUUGCUUUGAUUGCUUGUGGCUCUUUCCUAGUAAUGGGUCAGCAUCAGUUUUGAUUGUUGGACAAGGGUUGGAGGAAUGUGGCAUCCUUGGAUGUGUUAUAGCCUCUGAUCAUAUGCAAUGAUGGAGACUGAGGAACUCGGCAUUUUGUGCUUAGGAUGCUGGCAUAAUGGCUUUAAUCGACCCGUCUUGAAACACGGACCAA